rnacentral:tRNA from 1 species
UGUAGCUCAGUGGUAGAGCAUUUGCCUAGCAUUUGGAAGGCCCUGAGUUCAAUCCUUAGUACAA